GACGAACGCUGGCGGCGUGCCUAAUACAUGCCAGUUGAGCGCUGAAGGUUGGUACUUGUACCAACUGGAUGAGCAGCGAACGGGUGAGUAACGCGUGGGGAAUCUGCCUUUGAGCGGGGGACAACAUUUGGAAACGAAUGCUAAUACCGCAUAAAAACUUUAAACACAAGUUUUAAGUUUGAAAGAUGCAAUUGCAUCACUCAAAGAUGAUCCCGCGUUGUAUUAGCUAGUUGGUGAGGUAAAGGCUCACCAAGGCGAUGAUACAUAGCCGACCUGAGAGGGUGAGCGGCCACAUUGGGACUGAGACACGGCCCAAACUCCUACGGGAGGCAGCAGUAGGGAAUCUUCGGCAAUGGACGAAAGUCUGACCGAGCAACGCCGGGUGAGUGAAGAAGGUUUUCGGAUCGUAAAACUCUGUUGGUAGAGAAGAACGUUGGUGAGAGUGGAAAGCUCAUCAAGUGACGGUAACUACCCAGAAAGGGACGGCUAACUACGUG
rnacentral:rRNA from 1 species